CGCAGCUGCCGCUCCCCCGCCCCCUGGGGCUGGACAGGGGCCCGCCGCCCCCACGCAGCUGGAGAGCCACGCAGCGCCGGCCCAAGAGGCAGGACGUGACCUCGGCCCUCGGAGAACUCAUCAUUUUCCUACCCUUUGGGGUCCGGCGACCUCGGUAUUUUUCCUAAAGCCUGCUAGGAAGGGCGAGGCCAAGAAGAGAGGGAUUUGGGUUCCCCACCCACCAUCCAGCCGAUAGUAAGGGAAUCCAGGUGUAAGUCCUCGCACUGCGUCUUCGGACUCAGAAAUCCGCGUGGCCUUGGCCUUUAGCCCUGGAAAACCGAAGAGUGAGCCUUCCCCCGGGACCAGGAGUGGGUGUGCCUGUGUGCGUAUGCGCGCUGACCCGGCCAAAACCCGCGCGUCACUCGGUGGGGCUGCUGGGGCAACAGCUUCUCGGCACCGACGGCUGCUCUCGGAAGGGCACCCCUCUGCUCUGGCCGCCGGUGCCCAAGGCUCGCGGAUCAACUCCGAGUCUGUGACCCCGACGACAGCACUUUCUCCCAGGAAGUCUCUCCGGCCAGCUGGCGUUUGGAGCUGUCUAACUAACGCUUUAAUGGGGGCAAGGUGAACCGAAGGCGCAGCGGCGUAGCUUCCUCCGCCGCGGCAAGCAGCGGCAUCCGCUGCGCGUCUCGACGGCAGCGAAGUCCUUAGAGAACCACACUGGACCUUUGCAGAACGGCUUAGUGAAAGGACAUUCCACUCCACUGGCUUUAAAAACAGCUCCCCGGUUCGCACGAGAAGCCCAUGAGGCAGACAUUUAAGACUCAUGAUUUAAGCAUCAAGUAAAUCAGAAUUGUUUGUGAGGUCCCCUCCCGAGAGACAGCUUUCUUAUCAGAGAAAGGUGACAAACUGGCCUCACCCUCUUCCACCCUGGUGAAGCUCCCGCACACGAGGGCUUUUUGGGAUCCCUUCACCUCCCCACCGCUUUCUUUUUCGUUAGAUUGAGCCUCGCCUAAUUCAAGGCCGCCCUGCAUUGGCAGACGUGAUCGUGUGGGGUCCCCACUUGAGAGGUAGAUUUUGUUUUUCGGUCCUGGGGCGUCAGACCCUCCCCCACCAAAUCUCGACGGGCAUAUGUAAUGUUUCUUUCUGCAUUCAUCUACAGCAGCGAACCCCAUUUUUGCUUUGGAAAUCUGGAAACGUAAAUGGCGCUUCCAUAAACAAUUACUGUUAUUACUCCCUUGAGUUUACACAGGGCUUUACUGGAAUGCAAAACGCUACGCCAUCCAAAAUCUGGGUUGGAACGGAUCACUGCCCUGAGACCCCAGCAGGGUGGGUCUCAUACUUGGAUUUUGUAAGUGGAAACCCGCGCCCAGAGAGGAGGAAACUGGGCCUAGGUCGCCCAAUCGCUGCUGGAUACCCAGAGGUCCUUGCUUUGAAGGCAGAAUGGACAAAAGCCUGGAAUUGUGAUCCUGGGGAAACUGUGCUACCUACACAUGCUACACAAGCUCUUUACUGGGACUUUCCUGGAAAGUUCUCUCCCAUCUUUCUCGAUGCCACCAGGAAUGCUGCCAAUGAUGUCUCCCUCUGACUAAAUACUGACCCUUAGAAAAUACACAGCCCUGGGAGACAGGUCACAGCCAAGCUGUGCCUGAUCACAUAUGUUUCCUGCAUCACAUACAAUGUCCUUAGAGUGACUGAAUGUCUUACCCUUUCAUGACAGUGAGGGUAACAGUUAUGUGGAGGUAAUGUCGGCUCACGGUCAUUGAAUCCUUAUUAGAAGCCAGGCACUAUAACUUGGUGAGGUAGGUACUAUUAUUCUUUCUGAUUGAUAGAUGAGGAAACUGAGGUCCCAAGUAUGACAAGGAAGAGCUGGAGAGAGUACUAAAACAUUUAGCCUCAUAGGGUUGUUACAAGGACAGGGCUGGCCUACAGUAAGUGCUAUGUAAGUCCUAGCUAUUGUGCUGUUAUUCCUCAUUCAUUCAUUCUUCAAGAUGAACCCACAGGCCAAAGUCUGUUCUUGCAGUGUUGCCUUGAGAAAGCUAACACAGUUCUGCAAUGGAGAGAUGCCCCAAGAGUUGCUUCCUUGCUUCAAGGAGGCCUUACUCUUCUAUCCAGAAAUGAGCCAGCUCUCUCCCACGUCCUCGUUUCUCUUCCUGGUUCCCUUGUCUUCUUUGAAAGUUCUUCUUACAGUGAGGCACAGUGGCUCACAUCCAUAAUCCCAGCACUUUGGGAAGCUGAGGUGGGAGGGCCUCACUUGAGACUAGGAGUUUGAGACCAACCUGAACAACACAGUGAGACCCUGUCUCUACAAAACAUUUUUGAAAAAGUCUUUCUCCCCAAACCAAGAAUCUUUCAAGUGUAAUUAUUUGCAGGUUGCUCUCUAUCCUCAGAGUUCUCAUUAGGGGAGAAGAAGUAUAAUUUACAAUGCAAUAAAAUCCACAAUUUUGAGAAUACAACCUCAUAAACUUUGACAAAUAUAUACCCCUGAGUAAUUAUCAACUGUAUUUCCCCACCCUGAAAGUUUUCUCCUGGCCCUUUGCAAUCAAUUCCCCCAAACCCCACCCUAAGAGACCACUGUUGACUUUUAGAAUUAAGACGAGUUAUUCUGGUUCUAGAAGUUCAAUUAAAUAACCACGUCCAGUAUGUACUCUUUCUGAGUCUGCUUCUUUGAGUCAAUGAAUCUGUGUGAUUCAUUUGUUUUGUUGUGCAGGGUAUUUUUAGCAGAAGAGUGGCAUAUCUGCCUUACAUUUAAGUCAACUUUAGAUUCAUCAAGUUCCAAUGGGAUUCUCAACCUAAAGAAAUUCCACAUCCCAUGAAUGGAGGAAGAAAAUGUGGUCUAUCCAUACAAUGGAAAAUUGUUCAUCAAUACAAAGGAAUCCAGCACUGAUACAUGCUGCAAUGUGGAUGAGCCUUUGAAAGAUGCCAAAGUAAAAGACCACAUAUUGUUUGACUCCAUUUAAAUGAAAUGUCCAGAGGAGGCUACUUCAUAGAGACAGAAAGGAAAUAAGCGAUUAGCAGAUGCUAGGGGGAUGAGGGGAAUGAAGAGUGACUGCAAAUGUGUAUGGGGUUUCUUUUUGGGGGUGAUGAAAAUGUUUUAAAAUUGGUUGUGAUGAUGGUUGUCCAACUCCAUGACUGUACUAAAACUUUCAGUGAGUAGGUUGUAUAAUACAUUAGUGCUGUCUCAGUCAAGUGGUUAUGAAAAUAUUCACCUCCCAGCCACCAUGCAUAGGUACAAGCUUUCCAAUGCCUCUUGUCUUGAGAGCCCGAUGGAGCUGGUCCAGUGACCCAGCUGGGGCUCCCCCAACCUUCCCUGCAUAGUUCCUCUUUCUGCUGGUGGCUGGGCAGGGGGUGAGGGAUGCAAGGAUCAUUGGCUCAGCCUCCUGUGUAUGAGAAACUCUCUCCCCACAGAAUAGGGGGAAGCCUAGCCCAUGUAGCCUUCAGUGAGGUCAUGCAAGCCACAUCAGAGCUGAGUACCUCGAUAGCGAAGCCUGUCCCCAUGGCCCACAUUGGGCUGUUAUCCAGGAUGUCUCUCUUCUAGCUCUGAUGCAAUUUGAUUCUGUGCUUCUUCCCUCAGUGACUGAGGAAUGACCCAUUCUCCCUGAGUCAUCACUUCUGCCACACGAAUGUGGCACAAUCAGAACAAUCAAAGGUCAUGUCAUAUAAGCCAAGAUGACUCCUAAGGACAACUGGGAGAGGAGUGGCUGAAGCUUCCUCCCAACAAUGCCUGAGCAGCCCUGAAGAGUCAUCUCAUUUAUUCACUUAGUUAGCAACAUGCCUGGGCAGACAUUGUGCCAGGCUCUGGGGGUAUAAGACUAAAUCAGUCACAACUUCUGUUCUUGGGGUGCUCAUAGCCUAGAAAUGAAAACUGAAAAGGGAGUGAAUAAUGGCAAUGCAAUGUGAGAGGCAAAGUACCUCUAGCACAUUUAGGCACAAAGUGAUUUGGGAUCACAGAGAAGGAAACAACUAAUUCAGUCUGGUGGUUUAGUGUAAUCAGUGGAGGCUUCCUGGAGGAGGUGAUCAACCAGGGUCUUGAUGAGUGUGUUAUCAGGUAGGGAAGGGAGAAGAACAAAGAGGCUGAGGAAAUGUCAGAAUGUAGCCAUAGAGUUUGUGCUGGGGAGGGUGCACAGAUUGCUGGAGAUGGGGAACAGAGCUGGGCCAAAGAGACUGCUUCCCUUGAAUUCCUGCAUCAGCGAUUGUGGGCCCUUGAAUUCCUGCAUCAAAAUCAAUAGGUCUUUCCACAAAGACCAUCAUAUCAUAUUGUGGCAGCAGUAAGGAGAGCAUGGGCUCAGGAAUCUGCAAUUUUGCUAGAUGUAGUAAGCUGAUUUCUAGCACCAUCCCUGUAUCACUUUCCUACGGUUGCCUUAACUAAGUGCCACAAUCUGGAGGGCUUAAAACAAUGGAAAUCUAUUGUUUCACAAUUCUGGAGGCCAAAUGUCCAAACUCAAGGAGUCAGUAAGGCCAUGCUCUCUCUGAGUUUCCAAAGAAGAAUUUGUUCUAGGGAAGGAUACCUCUCUCCUAGCUUCUGGUAGGACAAGGUCCAAAUAAGGUCAGUUUACAGAUACUGGGAGUUAGGACUUCAGCAUAUCUUUUUGGAGGACACAAUUCAACACCUGCCCACAGUGAUCCCCACCUCUGAGCAUUCAUGUGCUUGUGUAAUUCUCUCCCCCUGAAUACAGGCUGGACCUAGUAACUUGAUUGUAACCAACAGAAUACAAUAAAGGUGAUGGAAUGUCACUUCCAUGACUGGGUUACAAGAUUGUAACUUCUGUGCAUUAGCUGACUCUCUCUAUUCCCUUCUCAGUUUGCAUGCUUUCAUGAACCAAGGGUGGCCUCAUACCAACAGCCAGUGAUAAACUGACUUCCUAAGUUAAACAGCCUGUGAGAAACUCGGUGUUGCCAAUAACCGCUUUGUGAGUUUGAAAGUGGAUCUUUCUCCAAUCAAGCCUUCAGUUGAGAACACAGCCCCUGGGACAACACUUUGAUUGGAGCCUUGCAAUAGACCAUGAAUCUGAGGCUCCUGUCCCACAGAAACUGUGAGAUAAUAAAUAUGUAUGUCUUAAGCCACU
rnacentral:lncRNA from 1 species